rnacentral:lncRNA from 1 species
UCAGUGAGUCUCAUAUGAACCAAUGGUCCAGUCCAGGUCACUCCUGCUCUUCCACACUUCUGCUUCAUGGAUGGAUCCCUGUUUCUGGAUAAGGGCAGCAAAUUACUGACACCAGCCCUCCUUAUACACCUUAGGGGCAGUUAUUGAUAGUAUUUUAUGAACUGAAAAUUCACAUCUCUCCAGAAAAAAGCAGAUGGCUUUGUAGGUAUUUUAAUUCUGUCUAAAUUGGCAUUAUUCAUUAACAUUUUGCAUUUCAAAGGAGUAAUGAGUUUUGGAUUUUUAUACCAAAGUAAUAUAUGAUGAGUGGUACAUGACCUUCUCUUUAUUUUAUUUUAUUUUAUUUUAUUUUAUUUUAUUUUUUUAUUGUGCAGUCCAUGCUAAUCUUGAACUCCCUAUGUAGUCCAGGGUGACCUUGAACUCCUGAUUAUCUGGCCUUGAUCUUCCCAGUGCUGGUAUUAUAGGUGUGCACCACCGUGGUUGUUUUUGUGAAAAUCUAAGUUCUGUACCCAGCAAUACAUAAAUGCUAAGCAAGCAUUCUACCCAUUGAGCCACAUCCCCAGCCCAAAGAAAAGACUUCUCAUUUUAUACUGGAACUUGGGGUAUCUUUAACACACUGUAACCAACUCCACCCACUUUUAUAUUGUUCCUUUAUAAGCAAGCAUUCAGUGGGAAAUCUCAGCUACCUGGAAAUGGCUUCCCUGGAGUUGGCUGGCUGGAAAUGUAGCUCUGGUACAUUCUUACAACUCCAGCUCCUCCUUUCUCACCUCUUAAGGCUCCACUUGGUAAGAAAUUCUGGAAACUAUCAGAGGGGUUCUACCUUAGAUUCCCCCUUAAAGAUGUAACUGUCAAGUCGUGAAAGCCAUGUUCUCCAGCUGUUAAAUCUCUGCCUGGAUCUGCUCUUUAGCUGUUAACUCUCCCUAGAUCUGCUCUCUCUUGGGGGUUUAUUAAUCUUUGUGGCCAGAUUGUCACAGCUGUAAGUUGUCUUCAGAACUAUUUCUCAGAAAAACAGCAAGUAGCCAGUGACCCUCAGUCUACUGAGAAACAAAUAAAGAAUGGUUUAAAUUCUAAAUCUUAUCAGAGUCUCCUCUGAAGUCAUUUCAGAUGUUGGAAUGCUGAGCUUUUAAUCUAGUUUUGGGGAAUUUUCAAAUUUGGCUUGGACUAAAGGGCAAAAUGUUUGGGAACCAGAAAUAGCUUAAUGUCUAAGACUAAGACACGGAAGGGUGCAUGUCCUCAGAUUCACAUUUUAAUAAAACACAACACUUCUUUAUCAGCAUGAGAGAUUUUUUUAUAGUUUUUAAUUAUUGUUUGAAAAUCUUCUUCAAUGGGAUUUCAUAUUUACCCCUUCCCCAACGGCCUCCAACUUUCCCCUACACAGCAGAUCUCGUGCCAUCUUGUUUCCCACUUAUCAGUUGGUGUUGCCCAUAGAUUCUCAAUGUGUUUCCAUCAAGCCAGCAGCUAAAAAUAGUACAUUCAUAUUUUCUCCCAAUUCGGAAGGUUUAGAUGCAUGCAGUCAGUUCCAUGGGGCUGAAAGCAGGGUGUCCACAAGGCCUUCCUUCCUCAGGAGACUUUAGGAUAAGACAGUAAUCUAUAGUACACUUAGACUUGGAAAACUCCAGUCCCCUUUUAAUAACAGUGCUAGGUGGAAAGGUAGUUGUGUUGUGUGAUACUUGGUUUUCUGAUAUUUGAGGUUACUGAAGUGGAUUUAGUAGAAGUAUAAUAAAUACUAUUGUCAACUUUGCUAUAAUUACAAUAUAAAAAUAAAGACAAUAAUUACAAGACUUUGAAGAAUAAAAUAAGGCAUUGUAUAAUAUUUACAUCUUCAAUAUUAAGAAUUUAAAGAUGGAGGGUUACCCCUGCCUUGGUCAGUGUCUGUACUGUUCUAGUCUGUGGUGUCAAACUAUCUAUAAAUCUAGUAAUGGGAAAUACAAUUGACAGUGAAGAAUAGCUAAUUUCAUGGGAUUAUUCAAACAAUCAAAGAUGUAGAAAUUCUGAGUCUCUUGAACAUAUGCUUGGGUCCCUGGGGAUCCAAACCUUAAGGAUUAGAUACAAAGUCCUUCCCCAAAGAGCAAGAGAAGGUGACAACCAAAUUACAGCCAUGGGCACAUUCCAUCUAAUUGUUUAGAAUCCAUGGGCUUCAAAUGUCAGUGCUUAUUAAGUUAUGCAUUGAAAAUUAUUAAGACUAUAACUGCCGAUUGUCCUGUAUUCUGUCAUUAGCAGAAAGUAGCAGCUGAGUAUUCAUGUAUCUGACUUCUUGGGAUCUCUAAAGUCCAGGAUCUGGGAAACUUGUCAUGCCUCCAUGAAUAUUGUUGAGUCUUAAUGCAGAUAGGCUCCGUUCUCUCUACUGACCUGUAUUUGAGGGAUAUUACUGUCUUGGGUACAAAGUAUACUUUCCUACCAGCAAGGUAAAAAGACAUGCUCCCGACAAUCUCCACGAUUUCAAAGUCAACAGGAUGACAUGUGGAGUAAAGAGGGGCUAUGGCUUUGGCUAGAAUUGUCUUUGAAGGCUUUCAGUGUUUGCAUUAGUGCUUCACCCCAAGACCCCUUUGCCAUUAAAAAAAUUACGGCAAAAAAUAAAUACGAUUGGUCAACAUAUUUAUCUCUAAGAAUGACAGGAUUGUAGCAUUCUAAAUUUCUAUUCAGAACCAUGGAACCAUGCUCUAUUGUUAAGAAAAUAUUUUACAACCAUAAAAAUAUAUUGCAGUCAAGAAACUAACUACUAACAAGUAAAUCAAUAUGCAGUUAGAGAAACAGAACUGGAAAAAACAGCCCGAGUUUUUGUUACAAUCUUUUCUUUUAAAUAUAAAAUCAGUGGAGAUAUCUGCAGGAUGGCUUCUCAUUGAAAGGAGGAACAUGGAGCAGGACACCAGGAUAGUUUUAAUUUUGAGGGCUUUAGAUAUAUCAUAUAGCUCAUUAUACAAAAUAUUCAAAACAUCAUUUUUCUAUUUAAUGUUUUCUUAAGGAAUAUUAAGUGCAGAUGUGUUACUUGUAUAAAACCUGGCUACAAUACAAGAGAUAGCAAGACCAUUUUAAAUACUAUUUGUAUCAUGGCAUAGCAAAAAAAAAAUCAUUAUUGAUCUCAUCUGUGAAAUUAUACAUCACCCAGAUACUCCUGGCUUCUUGUAUUUGGGUUAAAAAUUCCAGCCAUGUUUGUUACACCUUUGAACAUUAUUUUUGACAUGGGCAAUGUAGUCCAGUUCCUCCCAAAUCAUUCCUGUUAUGGAGUCAACAUUGGAAUCGCUCCAGAUUCUGUGAGGUCUUGUUGAAGUGUGCUGGGUAUUCUACACCUUGUAGAUGGAAAAAUAUAAUCACAUGUAAAAGUUGUGAUGGGUUUAUAUUGAAUACCCGUCCUGGUUCCAGCUAUAUUUCACCACGAACAUUUUCUCACUCUUGCUUAAUCAUGUGCCCAUCCACCCUCCAACCCUUUAUCCAUCCACUUAUGCCUAUAAAUUUUGGAUGCAUGUCAGAAGAAGAGUUUACUGUUUGUUUACAGGUAGUUAGAUUUCUAGUUGAACAGGUCUAAAGAGACUUGGCGUGAAAAAUUAUUUGUGGGAAGAGUUGCCAAAGCAGAAGAGAUUGAAAACUGGCUGUGAAGACAUAGCUUUUAUCUUGGAUUAAUAAUAGCUUGUAGCUAUUCACACCAUGAAAAAUAUUUGAAGUAUGCAUUUUGAUUUGAUCCAUAGAAGAACUCAAUCAAUUUAUUUUCUUUACUUUAAUUUUCUCAUUAGGAUACAGAGAUAGAAAGAGGUAAGAUCAUUUGAUCAAGUUAUUCUCAGGACUUGAAUUUAUUCUUAAUAUUUUUUCAACUACCAACAUAAUAAUGAAGAAAAAAGGGGGC